GAAAUGCGAUACGCAAUGCGAAUUGCAGAAUCCGCGAGUCAUCAGAUCUUUGAACGCAAUUGGCGCCGAUCGUAUCGGCAUGUUUGUUUCAGUGUGGAAGGAAUCACAAAUCAUAAUGCGAUUGAAAAGUUUUCACCAAUUUUUCUCUCGUUAAACACGUCGGUGUCUGUGAGAAUAUCAUGGGAACACCCACGAACGAAGUAGUCUCAUUUAUGAGAUCUCGUUUGUAAAGGGUAAAUAAAAAUCUCUGUAUUCAAUAAAACGCAGCCCUAAAAAAACUAUAGAAAGAUUUAUCUUUCUUUCUCUCUUACACCUGAAAUCAAGCAAGACGACCCGCUGAACUUAA
rnacentral:misc_RNA from 1 species